rnacentral:misc_RNA from 1 species
GAAAUGCGAUAAGUAAUGUGAAUUGCAGAAUUCAGUGAAUCAUCGAAUCUUUGAACGCAUCUUGCGCUCCUUGGUAUUCCUUGGAGCAUGCCUGUUUGAGUAUCAUGAAAUCUUCAAAGUAAAUCUUUUGUUAACUCAAUUGGUUUCUACUUUGGUAUUGGAGGUCUUUGCAGCUUCACACCUGCUCCUCUUUGUUCAUUAGCUGGAUCUCAGUGUUAUGCUUGGUUCCACUCGGCGUGAUAAGUUAUCUAUCGCUGAGGACACUGUAAAAGGUGGCCAAGGUAAAUGCAGAUGAACCGCUUCUAAUAGUCCAUUGACUUGGACAAUACUUUUAUGAUCUGAUCUCAAAUCAGGUAGGACUAUCCGCUGAACUUAAGC